ensembl:lincRNA
GUCUCCGUGCAUGGUCUCUCUUGGUAUUCUGUAAUUUAAAUUGAAUGUUGCUCUAAGUGUAUAAACAGUACCCUUAUAAUAUUAUGUACCAAAGGAAAAUAAGAAUACUAGCAAGAUAAAAUUAACUGCCAGCUUCUAUCCAACAUGUUUAGGAUGACAACAGCACAAGGAAUAUGGUAUCUGGCAUAUGAGGGAGCACCCUGAACAGUGUUCAGGAGGGACUGCCUCAUGUAGCUUUUCUUUUCUGCUCUUCUAAGCUUGUUGAUUAUUUUUCAAGUCAUAAAAUAAAUCCCCAAACUCUUCCCACAGGCUUCCUGUUAUGGCAAUGGAAAGGAUUCUAGGAAAGGAUGCCAACAGGCCAGAUGUCAUCUUUUUUGGUGGGCUGUACACAUCAGACUGGACUUGCCUUAAAUGAGAUUCAGACAAUCCUUUUUGCCAAAUGCCCAACAAGAAAGGAGCAGUUAUGCAGAACUUGUGGUAGAAGGAGGGAAACUGAGGACCUUAGACAUCUCCGUCUGAUGAGUAACUGCUACCAGUCACAGCUUGGAGAGCUGGACACUUCACCACUCAGGUAUGGAAGGUGAAGGCCAUGUUUUUAUCCUAUUAAUUGCUUGUUUUUUUAAAAGAAUUGCUGUUUUUGGAUAAAUUGAAAUCAAAGUUUCAAUCUCAGGUCAACAGAUGUCUGAAAAUAACAGCAAGAAAGAAAUGAAAAAGAAUCUCCCACAGAGGUAUGUUAUAUCAUUUCCCCGCAAGUCUUUUAACACAGGGUGGAUGAACAGCUCUCUAGCAUUAUGUGAAUGGGAGGCUGCCUAAAGGAAGGGAAAUGGGUUGGAUAAUUUGGGGACUCCCUCAGCUAAUUUAGAAAAUUAUCUGUUUUUUCAAUGGUGUGGGUUCUUGGAAGAAAAUGAAGAGCAUUGGGAAGAAUCCUCAAGAGAUUGCAAGCUUUGAUCAAGUGUGCUCCUAAAGGGAAACAUUAAAGACAGUCUUUAAAACAAACAAAAAACAAAUAAAAAGCCUAUUCUGAAAGUCCAUAUUAAAUUCUUAUUUAUAGAUACUAAUAGAUGGUAGCUCAUGGAGUUAGGGGCAAAGAGAGGUGCUUAGGAAAGGUCUGCUUCUAUCAGAAAAGGUAUGAUUUGAAAUAUUAUAAUUUAAUUUUAACCUAAUGCUCUUUUUGCAAAUAUCUUCCACCACCUUCUCUAAACUCAGAGCUCCCUAGUAUAAACAGUUUUCUGUGCUUGUUAUAGUAGAGUUACCUCAGGUCUCCAGGUCUCACUGGCCCAGGGAGGACAACAAAGCCAUUGCCAAACAAAGGUACAGUAAUGCCCAGAAUGCUCAUUGUAUUAAAUUCCUUCCAUCUGAUUAAGAGGACAUUGGGGAGUCUCCUUUGUCCUCCUGAAAACCAUGAUGCUCUAUGCCCAUGCUGUAUGGAAUGUAUUAUUUUCUCUUUAAUUCCUAAUACGCUGUUCCCUGAUCACUGCAUUGGCAGCCUUGAGCUCUAAGUUUUCUUUCCUAGAGCUUUUAAAAUGUUUAUUUAUUUGACCCAAACUUUACUAGAGAUUCUAAUUCCAGAUUAAGGGCCUUGACUUCAGUAACCAGAUUCAACAGAUAAAAUACUGGAUCCCCCAUUAAAUUUGAAUUUUAGGUAAACAUUGACU